rnacentral:rRNA from 1 species
UAAUACGGGAGUAGGCAAGCGUUAUCCGGAAUUAUUGGGCGUAAAGCGUCCGCAGGUGGCCUUGUAAGUCUGUCGUUAAAGCGUGGAGCUUAACUCCAUUUAAGCGAUGGAAACUACAAGGCUAGAGUGUGGUAGGGGCAGAGGGAAUUCCCGGUGUAGCGGUGAAAUGCGUAGAUAUCGGGAAGAACACCAGUGGCGAAGGCGCUCUGCUGGGCCAUCACUGACACUCAUGGACGAAAGCCAGGGGAGCGAAAGGGAUUAGAUACCCCUGUAGUCCUGGCCGUAAACGAUGAACACUAGGUGUCGGGGGAAUCGACCCCCUCGGUGUCGUAGCCAACGCGUUAAGUGUUCCGCCUGGGGAGUACGCACGCAAGUGUGAAACUCAAAGGAAUUGACGGGGGCCCGCACAAGCGGUGGAGUAUGUGGUUUAAUUCGAUGCAACGCGAAGAACCUUACCAGGGUUUGACAUCCUGCGAAUCCCUUGGAAACGAGGGAGUGCCUUCGGGAGCGCAGAGACAGGUGGUGC